CGGGUGAGUAACACGUAUCCAACCUGCCGUCUACUCUUGGACAGCCUUCUGAAAGGAAGAUUAAUACAAGAUGGCAUCAUGAGUUCACAUGUUCACAUGAUUAAAGGUAUUCCGGUAGACGAUGGGGAUGCGUUCCAUUAGAUAGUAGGCGGGGUAACGGCCCACCAAGCCGACGAUGUCUAGGGGUUCUGAGAGGAAGGUCCCCCACACUGGAACUGAGACACGGUCCAG
rnacentral:rRNA from 1 species